rnacentral:lncRNA from 1 species
UCUGAGAGAUUGUUUGUUAUGAUUUCAGUUAUUUUGCAUUUGCUGAGAAGUGCUUUACUUUUAGAGUAAGUGCCAUGUGGCAAUAAAAAUAAUUUAUAUUCUGUUGAAUUUGGGUGAAGAGUUCUGUAGAUAUCUAUCAGGUCCACUUGAUGCAGAGCUGAGUUCAGCUCCUGAAUAGCUUUGUUAAUUUUCUGUCUUAAUGAUCUGUCUAAUAUUGUCAGUGAGGUGUUAAAAUCUCCCACUUUUAUUGUAUGGGAG